GCCGUUGGCAGCUGGCGCUGUGGUUCCUGCAUGAAAACAGUGGCCGGCGGGGCCUGGACCCACAAUACCACUUCUGCAGUCACAGUGAAGUCUGCC
rnacentral:miRNA from 14 species